rnacentral:lncRNA from 1 species
ACUAGGUUGCUCUUAACCACUAAGCCAUCACUCCAGCCCAUAUUUAAAUACCUUAAACAUAGUCUUUCUUUUUUAGAUUUAUUUAUUUUAUUUUAUGAGUGUCUUACUUCUAUGUAUGUCUGUGCACCAUGUACAUGCCUGGUACCCGAGGAAAUCAGAAGAGCGCGCCAGAUGUCCCUGAACUGAAAUUAAGGACAUACCAACUAUUGUGAGCCACCAUAUGGGUUCCAGGAACUGAACCUGGGUCCUCUGCAAAAAAAAAAACAAAAAACAAAAAACAACAACAACAAAAAAAAACCAAAAAAACAAGGCCUCUUACCCACUGAGCCAUAUCUCUACCCCCUAUUUAAAUACUUUUGUUUGAUAAUCCUUUACUUUUCUGUUAAAAAAAAAUAGCAAUGCUUUCAUCUAAUUCUGUUCAGCUGCCACUUUGGGAACAGUUUAACCAUACAUAGUGUUUUUUGUGUGGAACAGCAGGAGAAAGUUGUUCUCAGCAACUGAGCUUUCAGCCUUCGGUCAGUGCAUUUGGGCUGUUUUACAUGCAUCACGAGGAUUCUGAAGAUAGCACCGCAGAUAAGAGCACUCCUGAGACAGUGGACCGAGUCCACGUGUACCUGUAACUCCAGUGCUGGGGAAAGGAGCCAGGUGGAUUGAGGUAGCUGGCUGGCCAGCCAGCCUAGCCAAAAGAGGGAGUUUCAAGUUCAAUGAGAGACCCUGCUUCAAAACACAAGGUGAGGGCUGGAGAGAUGGCUCCAAUAUUAAGAGUCUAUACUACUCUUAUAGAAGACUAGAGCUCCCUGCUCAUGUUAGGCAAUUCACAACUGCCUGGAACUCCAGCCCCAGAGCAGCCAGCCUCCUGGCCUCAAUGGGCAUCUGCUCACUUGAUCACAUGAGCAUGCCCACACACAGACACACAGCAUACACUUCACGAUAAUGAUGAUGAUGACAAUGAGGAUGAUGACGAUGAACACACAUCUUUAAACCUGGCACUUGGAUAGAACUCUGUAUGUUGUAGGUCAAUCUGAUCCACACAAUGAGUUCCAGGCCAACUGAGUACUACAUAGUGAGCCUCAUCUCAAAAUGAAUGAAUCAAUGAAUGAAUGAACAAAUGAGCGACUGACUGAAUGCAUGAAGUGAAGAGUAACACAGAAAGAAAGACACUUUACGUCCUCAUCCGGCCUCUGCAUGUGCACUCAUGAGAUUGCCUCCAUCAUAACUAAUUAGUUAUUUUAAAGCGCAGGAGAAGAACC